CUUCAUUAACAUUUAUGAUGUUAACAUAUACAGAAAUAAUAUUUUCAUCAGAUAAAACCAGUCAUCAUGUUCACUGUUAUAUUCAUGUGUCUGUGGCUUUUACUAGGUGACUCCAUGGCAGAUUCAAUAGAGACACAUUUCACUCAGAAAGUUGUAGAUGAAGGUGAUGUUACUCUGUCCUGCAGCUAUAAACCAAGCUAUACUACAGGAAACAACCUACACUGGUACAGACAAUAUCCAAAAUCUAAUCCUGAGUUCCUUCUUUAUAUUUCUCAAAGAGGAGAUUUUAGUCCCAACAUUCCCCCAAGAAUGUCUGCUAAAAUUGAUGAUAAAGCUAAACAAGUGGAUCUGAUCAUCUCCUCUGCUGCUGUAUCAGACUCUGCUCUAUACUACUGUGCUCUGGCACCCACAGGGACAGGAAAACCAGCUGCACUGUACAAAAACUAA